CCUGGUAGUUGAGGUGACGGGCCCACACUUCAGCCCUGCUCUUACAAGUUCCUCUCUAAGCUCAUCAGGGCUGAGUUGCUUCAAGCGGGAUAAGAUCGCAUCCAUCGUUAUCUCACCUGGGCGGCUCCCGCCGCGCCGCCCUCUCUCCGCCUCGCCGCGCGGGGUCGGGCAACGGAGGCCCUCCGGCGGCGCCCCGCGCCCGCCCGUCCGCCCGUCCAGCAGCCGCAGCAGCCAGCCCACCGCGCCGAUCAGCGCGCAGGCGACCAGCAGCUCCCAGGCCGGCCAGCGGUCCCAGCCGCCGUCCCACAGCGAGCCCCAGCCGCCGCCGCCGGCCGCCCCGGCCCAGCG
rnacentral:lncRNA from 1 species